rnacentral:rRNA from 1 species
AUGGUGGUGGUGGGGGGCGGCAGCGGGAAUGCGUGGGCGAAGGAGAUGACCCUCCGCCGGAGGAUGGCCAGCAUAUUCAACAAGACGCGGGAGCACUUCCCGUCGCUGAAAGACUACAACGAUUACCUGGAGGAGGUGGAGGAUAUGAGAAUCGACGUCGAGGCGAUCGAGGCUAGGAUUGCCAGGUAUCAGCAGGAAAAUGCUGAGCAGAUAUACUUGUCGCGAGCUAAAAGGGCUGAAGAUCUUGCCGCGGCGCUUAAAGCAAGCAGAAUGGUCACUGUGAAGGCUGGCCCGAGUGAUACGGCGGCUGGAACCUCCCAAGGUAUUAGUGGUGGAGCAGGAGUUCAAGGCCAGUAUGCACCUGCCGCCGUUCCUGGUGGGUUGAAUCAGCCUCGUCCGACUGGUAACGCCCCGCAGCCAAUCGGUGGUUCAUCCGAUCCUCUACAUGGAUAUGAUGAGGAGACCAUGCGACUACGUGCGGAGAGAGGAGCUCGGGCAGGUGGUUGGACUGCUGAGUUGGGCAGGCGAAGAGCACUGGAGGAGGCAUUUAACAGCAUAUUCGUAUAA